AUUAAAAAAAAUAUUAAUAAUAAUACUAUCCAAAGUUCCGAUUCGAAUGUGCGUGGCUAAAAUAAAUAAAUAGUGCAAAUAUUUUCAGGAAUUACUCAAAUGAAAAUACCAUCAGCAAGAAGCAAAAAUUAAUGCUUGUGCCACUUGAAUGAAAAAAGUUCAAUGCCAUUAGUGUGUGCAAAACAAAAAAUAUCUAUAUAUAUGAAUAAAUGUUAGCAAAUAUCCGAAAAUAUUUGCAGAUAGCCAUAUGAAUGGAAAAGUGCUCGAGAGUAAAUAGGCCGAAAGUCGAAACAUAUCCACCGACUGAAAAUCAAAAAUCUUGGACAAACUUGUGCAGUUCUCGUUUUCCCAACGCUUUUCGAGUGCUAUUAUUAAAGUAAUUUGUGCGACACUUGCCACCUGUUCGACAACUUUUGGAAAAUACACACAGCACACACACAACACACACUCAAUUUAUGCAAACGACUUCGAGAAGAAAGCCGAUCCGAUCCCCAAAAUAAAAACCGAGAGUGAGAGUGUCGAGAGGAGUCGUUGACCCAACGUAUUGGAACGGAGCAUCGCGUUGAAGACGUCUCGAGAGGUUUAGGCCAAAGAGCAGCGAGCAGAAGCAAGAGAGCCACAGGAAAAGGGAUUCUAGAGCUAGGCGACAAUCAGAGGAGCAGUAAAUACAAUCCAGCAGCCCACAGAGAUUUAUUGAAAGAGAUACCCAAGUACAAGGCAUAAAAGUCAAUGACCACAUCAACUGGCGGCCGCAAGCAUCAUUUUUAUUAAGCAUACGCCCCCACAUAAAUUAGUAAUCAGGCGGCGACGACGACUACGACUACGGGGCAGCUAACCGCAGGCGAAAC